rnacentral:rRNA from 1 species
GAAUAUUGGACAAUGGGGGCAACCCUGAUCCAGCCAUGCCGCGUGUGUGAAGAAGGCCUUCGGGUUGUAAAGCACUUUAAGUGGGGAGGAAGGGGUCAACGCUAAUACCGUUGAUCAUUGACGCUACCCCCCGAAUAAGCACCGGCUAACUCGGUCCCAGCAGCCGCGGUAAUACAGAGGGUGCAAGCGUUAAUCGGAAUUACUGGGCGUAAAGCGCGCGUAGGCGGCUAAUUAAGUCGGGUGUGAAAGCCCCGGGCUCAACCUGGGAAUUGCAUCCGAUACUGAUUGGCUAGAGUAUGAGAGAGGGAGGUAGAAUUCCACGUGUAGCGGUGAAAUGCGUAGAUAUGUGGAGGAAUACCGGUGGCGAAGGCGGCCUCCUGGCUUAAUACUGACGCUGAGGUGCGAAAGCGUGGGGAUCAAACAGG